GAACGGGUGAGUAACACGUGGGUGAUCUGCCCUGCACUUUGGGAUAAGCCUGGGAAACUGGGUCUAAUACCGAAUAGGACCACGCGCUUCAUGGUGUGUGGUGGAAAGCUUUUGCGGUGUGGGAUGGGCCCGCGGCCUAUCAGCUUGUUGGUGGGGUAAUGGCCUACCAAGGCGACGACGGGUAGCCGGCCUGAGAGGGUGACCGGCCACACUGGGACUGAGAUACGGCCCAGACUCCUACGGGAGGCAGCAGUGGGGAAUAUUGCACAAUGGGCGCAAGCCUGAUGCAGCGACGCCGCGUGAGGGAUGACGGCCUUCGGGUUGUAAACCUCUUUCAAUAGGGACGAAGCGCAAGUGACGGUACCUAUAGAAGAAGCACCGGCCAACUACGUGCCAGCAGCCGCGGUAAUACGUAGGGUGCGAGCGUUGUCCGGAAUUACUGGGCGUAAAGAGCUCGUAGGUGGUUUGUCGCGUUGUUCGUGAAAACUCACAGCUUAACUGUGGGCGUGCGGGCGAUACGGGCAGACUAGAGUACUGCAGGGGAGACUGGAAUUCCUGGUGUAGCGGUGGAAUGCGCAGAUAUCAGGAGGAACACCGGUGGCGAAGGCGGGUCUCUGGGCAGUAACUGACGCUGAGGAGCGAAAGCGUGGGGAGCGAACAGGAUUAGAUACCCUGGUAGUCCACGCCGUANACGGUGGGUACUAGGUGUGGGUUCCUUCCUUGGGAUCCGUGCCGUAGCUAACGCAUUAAGUACCCCGCCUGGGGAGUACGGCCGCAAGGCUAAAACUCAAAGGAAUUGACGGGGGCCCGCAC
rnacentral:rRNA from 1 species